GAUGAACGCUGGCGGCGUGCCUAAUACAUGCAAGUCGAGCGAAUGGAUUAAGAGCUUGCUCUUAUGAAGUUAGCGGCGGACGGGUGAGUAACACGUGGGUAACCUGCCCAUAAGACUGGGAUAACUCCGGGAAACCGGGGCUAAUACCGGAUAACAUUUUGAACCGCAUGGUUCGAAUUUGAAAGGCGGCUUCGGCUGUCACUUAUGGAUGGACCCGAGUCGCCUUAGCUAGUUGGUGAGGUAACGGCUCACCAAGGCAACGAUGCGUAGCCGAACUGAGAGGGUGAUCGGCCACACUGGGACUGAGACACGGCCCAGACUCCUACGGGAGGCAGCAGUAGGGAAUCUUCCGCAAUGGACGAAAGUCUGACGGAGCAACGCCGCGUGAGUGAUGAAGGCUUUCGGGUCGUAAAACUCUGUUGUUAGGGAAGAACAAGUGCUAGUUGAAUAAGCUGGCACCUUGACGGUACCUAACCAGAAAGCCACGGCUAACUACGUGCCAGCCGCCGCUGUAA
rnacentral:rRNA from 1 species